GUAAGUUCAGAUGGCGCUGAAGCACGUCGGAGACUCCGGGAAUGUGAAGGGUUGGUAGAUGCUCUUCUCCAUGCUUUGCAGUCGGCUGUCGGCAAAAAAGACACAGAUAACAAGUCGGUGGAGAAUUGUGUCUGCAUCAUGAGGAAUCUCUCCUACCACGUCCACAAAGAAAUUCCAGGCGCCGACAAGUUCCGGGAAUUAGAAAAUAACCAGCUGGGAAGUUUUGGAGGAACUCAUAAGAAAAAGAAAGACGACGCGGGCUGCUUCGGUGGGAAAAAAGCCAAAGAGGAAUGGUUCAACCAAGG